rnacentral:tRNA from 1 species
GGAGAGGUGUCCGAGUCCGGCUGAAGGAGCACGCCUGGAGAGCGUGUGACCCUCCGGGGUCCGUGGGUUCAAAUCCCACCCUCUCCGCCA